rnacentral:rRNA from 1 species
GAUGAACGCUGGCGGCGUGCCUAAUACAUGCAAGUCGAGCGAACAGACGAGGAGCUUGCUCCUCUGACGUUAGCGGCGGACGGGUGAGUAACACGUGGAUAACCUACCUAUAAGACUGGGAUAACUUCGGGAAACCGGAGCUAAUACCGGAUAAUAUAUUGAACCGCAUGGUUCAAUAGUGAAAGACGGUUUUGCUGUCACUUAUAGAUGGAUCCGCGCCGCAUUAGCUAGUUGGUAAGGUAACGGCUUACCAAGGCAACGAUGCGUAGCCGACCUGAGAGGGGGAUCGGCGACACUGGAACUGAGACACGGUCCAGACUCCUACGGGAGGCAGCAGUAGGGAAUCUUCCGCAAAGGGCGAAAGCCUGACGGAGCAACGCCGCGUGAGUGAUGAAGGUCUUCGGAUCGUAAAACUCUGUUAUGAGGGAAGAACAAAUGUGUAAGUAACUAUGCACGUCUUGACGGUACCUGAUCAGAAAGCCACGGCUAACUACGUG